GAGUCCAUGCAAUCAUCAAAUGAUUGGUUCUAGGGCUCUAACUAACAGGAAGAUCUUCCACCAUUGGGUCAUCUCCCUUUUCUGAUGGACAUAUUUUUUUAAAACCUUCUAGUAAGAAGAAUUGGUGCCAAAUUUUAUGGGGAUGCUAAUAUGGUUUUCCUUGUUACUAAAAAACAAUUUGUUGUCGGAGAUUUUUGAGAACUUAGUUGAAUUUAAAAUUAUACAAAAUUUAAAUUCACUUAACUGUUGAAAUGACCUGAGCUGAUAAUCUCAGGUUGCGAGCUGGUGUCUGCCAAGUGCUUAACGCAUGCUUCACAGUGUUUGACCGGGCGAGUUAGUUGCCGACCGGGCGAGUUAGCUGCCAACCGAGCGAAAUAGGUUAAGGUCGACCGAGCGAAUUGAAGGCUUCUGCCGACCGAGCGAAGAGGCCAAGGCCGACUGAAUAAAGAAUCCGACCAAGCGAAGUGGCCGAUCGAGCGAAGCUUAAGGCCGACCAAACGAAUCGAAGGCUUCUGCUGAAUAGCAGAGCGGCGAACUGAGAGAUACCCGACUGCUAUCACGGGCAUUCCACUGAGUAAGAAAUGCACGAUAGAGGAGAUAGGGAACGUAGGUAGAGAUUCAGCUUUUCGUGCGUGUUACCUUUUGCCUGUGGUCGUAGCCUCCUUAUAUAAGAGUUGAAGACCAAAGGGCAGUGUUAAUGAUCGUUUAAAGAUCAUUAUUCGCCAACGUUUCACUCGACUACAUUAAUUUUUACCUGGCAAAAUGUUGAUUGUUCCACUUGGACAAAUUUUGUCGACCGGCCUGACCAGUCCAGCAUUCGGCGUGCACGGAUUGUGCCUGUAUACGAGUCAAAAUGGUUCAGUGCAAUCCAAGCCUUGGAUUUGCACCCCCUGCACACCCACACAUGAGAGAGAGCUUCUCCCCAUACAAUUGUUCAUAUCCUCAAUGCAUGUGAAUCAAUAUAAACUAACCAACAUGCCUUGAAACUCUCAAUGUGGAACUAAAGUCUCAUUCACAAUGGAGCUCCAUGUCUCUUCCACCUCUUCUCCAUUCACAUAUAUCCAACAUUCCCUUCACUACAAGAACUAACAUUUCAUGACUUGAAUAAAUGGGAGGAGUUGUCUGAAUCAGACAGUAGGCCAAUUUUUCCUUUCCUUAGAAAAAUGAGAACAGCAAAUUGCCUUGAGCUAAGAAGAAUCCCUGUUCUCCCUUUGAUAUCAAUGAAACAGCUUGAUAUUUGGAAUUCCGGUGAUAUUGGCAAUGCCCUACCUGACUACUUGCUAACUUUAACCUCUCUAACAUUGCUGGAGUUAAGAAGUUGUGCACAAAGAGCAUCUGUGUCUCUAUACAACCUUAGAUUCCUUGAGUACUUAAGACUGGUUCAAUGCCCAGAGUUGAGCUUAAUUUGUGGAUUACAGUCUUGCAAAUCUGAAAGACAUAAUUAUUGAUAAAUGCCCAAGGCUAACUGAACCUGCACAGAUGCCAGCGCAACCAUAUGUUGAACAGGAUUUGACGUCUCUGUGUACCGUUUGGAUUGAUGAUAUUGUUCUCAAACAUGUUUGGGCAAUACUAGGAAGGACCCCAUGUAUUCAGGCUCUCAGAAUCCAACAUUAUAAUGAUCUUUCUUGCUUCAACCCUGAGCAAGAGGAGUGAUUUCAGCAACUGACUGCCCUAAAUCUCCUUGAGUUCGAUGACUGUCCAAAACUACAAAAGCUGCCUUCUUCCAUGGGAACUGCCUCCUCCAUCAAGAUUUUAAGCAUUCACCAUUGCCCAAAUAUUGAGUCACUGCCCAUUAAUGGCCUGCCAUCCUUGCUUCAAAAAUUGGAGAUGUACGGAUGCAUUAAAUUGACAGACCGAUGCAGGAAGGAUGAUGGGUCAGAUUGGCCACUAAUUUCAUAUAUCCCCAACAUCCAUAUUGAUGGUGAAUCAAUACAGUAUAAAUAACAACAAUACCAAGGAGACUGGAGUUGGUUAAGUACAGAAUGGAUUCAAAUAGGAAGCAAAAUUCAUAGCAUGAGGAAGGCCUCAGUAAAGUUGGGGGUUGCUUGCUGAAGGUAAAGCUACUCAGAUCAGGACCAUUCAAUUUGAGCUGAGUUUUCAAAGGUUGCAUUAGACAUAUUAAAUUUGAUGAAGGCUAAAGGUAUACAAGGGCAACCAAUGCAAACAUGCGCAGGUGUAAUUAAUUAUCAUGUAAGUAAAGAUACAGUUACUUUGCAUUUGCUAUUAACUUUGUUUAAUAUUGGGGAUGCAUAACUCGUGUCCUGCAUGCAUACUCUGUAAAGCAUGGAGUAUUAUGUUUUCUGGAGUUGCCAUGUCACAAGAGUAGCAUGACAGAUUUGGCCCAACUCAACAAUGAGAUCAAUGGCAUGAGAUGUGAGAAGAAGAGUGGGUUGGAAACAGGGGCUGUGCCUUUUCCCUUACCUCACCUGAUCAGCCUGAUCAGCUCUUUGCAACCUCUUCUGUUGCAGCCAGUAUUAAAAUAGGAACUCGGAGGACUGUGUGUUGAAAAAAUCUUGUGGGAGUCCUUCCCUCCUUCGGACAUUGAUGAGAUACUAUCACAAAAUGAGGAACCGCCACAUCAACGGCUCCUUAGAGCAGGUCCCACGGAUAUGGAGGGAUACUAUCACGGCCACACAUCUGGUGGAUUACUCCUCUAGGAAGGACCUGUACUUCCGCCUCCUCGUCGAUGUGGCAAAACUGAGCUUCCAAUUUGAUAGGUCAAUGGGGAAUAAGACUCACAUGCUAUCUCUGGAAACCAUGUAUACCCUGGAUCCUCAUCCUCAGCAUUGUCGAUGGAUUUCUCUUCCACGCUCCUGGUAAAUUCUAGCUUGUUUCUUUAAAAAAAUUUGCUUUACCUUCUAUUGCAACUAUUUUUAAGGAAGAGCAUUGUCGCACUUUUACCCUCUUUUCAAAAUGCUCACAUAGUUUUAAAAUCGUUUAAAUAUCUCCUUUUCCUUUCAAAGAAUUAGUUUACCUGAUGAAAGAUUGACAUGGCGAAUA